UUUCUUUGCUGGCGACCGGCGCACGGUGAGUAGCACGUAUCCAACCUGCCCUUUACUCGGGGAUAGCCUUUCGAAAGAAAGAUUAAUACCCGAUAGUAUAAUGAUUCCGCAUGGUUUCAUUAUUAAAGGAUUCCGGUAAAGGAUGGGGAUGCGUUCCAUUAGGUUGUUGGUGAGGUAACGGCUCACCAAGCCUUCGAUGGAUAGGGGUUCUGAGAGGAAGGUCCCCCACAUUGGAACUGAGACACGGUCCAA
rnacentral:rRNA from 1 species